UUUGCCGGCUUUUACCAAGGGAUUUGCACCCCUGGCCCUAAGCCCACCCUUCCCGACCAGACCCGGUUCUUCCCCUGCUGCUUGAAUGACAGGAUGAGAACUCGAGGGACACCGGGGACAGCCCACUCCGGGCCAGCUUUUUCAGGACAGGGCUUCAAACCCAUCUCCAGCGCGGGUCCUGCGACGCGCCCGGAGCCUUCCCCGCUUCGCUUCCUGGGCGUCCCGCGGCCCCCGACUCCUCUCCCAACUCUCACCCAACUGUUCUGGGAUUGUUUACCUGGCCUUUCCCUCAACCUUCAGAAAGCUCCUUCCUGGAAGAAAAAACCACAAACUUACCCUAUUUAUCUUUUUAAUCCCACGGCUAUUUAAACGAGCUACCGGGUGUAUAGUAGGCACUCAAUAAAUACUUGUUGGCAAAGUGAAUAUUCCUCAUUGCAGGCAGAGCUCGGGGUCCACACAGAGGAAUUUCAGAGGCUGGACGCACGCUUGAAGAAAAAAGGGGGCCUGGGCUUUGCACCAACUUCAGGAUUGCGUACUUGUUUCCUCGUCCGUUAAAUGGGAGCAGCUGAAUGUGUCUCCUAGCGUUUUCGAGAUUAUAGGUUGAUAGAGCUAUGUACAGCACCCAGUAUUCAUUCUUGCUUCGUUUAGGUUUACAAUACAUGGAAGCUAACAUUAUUAUUAAGGAAACUUCCAUUUUUCCCGGGCCUUAGAAAGCUUUUCAAUACUCGAUCGUUUAAGCUUCUGGUUUUUGUUUUUUGUUUUUUUUUUUAGAAAAAUGAGGGUCUCACUUUGUUGCCCAGGCUGAUCUCGAACUCCUGGCCUCAAGUGAUCCUCCCGCUUUUGGCCUCCCAAACAGAUGGAAUUACCGUCUGGAACCACUGUGUCAAACUUUCAGAUUUGACUGCUACAAAUGUGUAAAUGUGGAACUCCAUGUAUCAGUGGGUUCUGCCCCACUUCUUACUCCCAGGAAUUCUGCGUCCCAGCCUGCGGCUCCUGUCCUGCACCAAGGAACAAGCAUGUAUCCUGGAUGAAAAUAAACCAAGUCUAUUGAAACUGCAACCCAAGACAUUCAGAAGAGACAAGGCGACAGUGAACCUGGAAAGUUUGCACGUGUUUGGAUGUAUUGAUUGCCUUAACUAGCAGCCCUUUGCACUGCCAGCUUCUCCCUCAAUUACAUGAGGAACCACGAGGGGGCAAUGUCUUCCCAAGCAAUAUAGGUGAGUGGUGGUCUUAGGACCCCCUGGUGGCCCAUGAUGCUAGCACUGUGUCUUUGGCCAUUGUUGCCUGUCAUGGAGCAUAGUCCACAGAAAGGCAUGGUCUUCUUGGAGCCUGGCAUGGGCCUAACAAAAAUGACAAUGUAGUCAAUAGUUCCACUCAGACUUCACUUGGGAGCAGGUGGACUAUGUUGUGUGAUAUCAGGAUGCCUAGAGAACCUCUCCUAUCCCCACCCAGGGAAGCAUGGCUUAAUUCCAAAUAAAGAAUCUGGUUCCUUUGUCUUUAAGCCAA